AGCCGAUUACACACGAGUAAAAAAUGACAACGGUGGUGCAUGAUUCACACACGGUCGUUGUCAAUAUGACACCGGUCGUGUAUGAAUUAUGCACCACCACCUGCAUAAUGAUGCACCACCGUUGUUACUUUGUACACCGACGUGCAUGAAUCGUACACGAUCGUUGCCAUUUUAGCAACUACCGUGUAUGAAUCAUGCACCACCGUUGUCAUUUUUUUUACUCGUGUGCAAUCGGCUGCAUAUUUACCAUUUUUUCCGUGUUAUUGAAAGAGAAAGGACGCAUUGUGCAAAAAAUUUAUUGAAAAUGAAUAAUAAUUCGCAAGAUCCUCAAAAUAUCAUUGGUGAGUUGUUAGAAAUCGAUGGCAAUAUUGUUGUGGUUCGCGAUACAAACCAUUGCAGCAGUCAAGAUGCGGAAAACAAUGAGGACGAUUAUAUGUUAAGGGAGUUCUUAAAAGGAAUAAAUAUGGAGUCGCUUUUUGAACAAUUAAAAGGUAAGUAAAUAAAAAUGAAUUUUUCAGUUAAUCAGUGUAAUUAACAAAGAAUUUUCUUUUUUGUUCUUUUAGCAUCACAUGUAACAUUUCGCAGCUUGCAGUACUUGAAAAAAGAAGAUUUAAAGGAAGCAGUGCCACCAUUGGGACUGCGUGUUGAAUUCAGAGAAAAGCUCUUUGCUUGGAAAAAACGAAAGGUACGUAUUAUUUGUUUUACAGAGUUGAACUCAGUAUUAAUAUUGUCAUAACAAUAGCUCGGGAUUGAUGACGAAACUAUGUCAGUUCCAUCUAAAAUAGGUGAAUGGUGGAAACGCAACGAGACACCUGCAAGUACUCCUGGUACUCCCGACACUACAGGUUCGAACUGCUCAAAAGCCAAAGGAAUUUUGUCAGAGGUAAGGUAAGAGUAAUAUUUGUGUAAGCAUAGUUAAUGUAGUUUUUUUAUUUAAUAUAGGAUCUAACGGAAUUGUUAACACAUACCUCGAAGGGGAAACUAGCGCUUGAAUGUAGUAGCGUUAAUAAGAAAUUAAGUGACGAGCAAAGAGAUGAUAUAAUUAAUAUAAUUAUUGAAGAUAUUUUAACCAACAAUGUUACUCUUUACACUCAAGACUAUAUGCGCAUAUUGGAUGAAAUUUGUUCCGUUUUUCCUCUUGAAAACGAAAUGAGGGAUUAUUAUUACAUUUCAAGAAAAGGAAAGAACAACGCAAGCGGAAAACUUUAUGCCAAGUAUAGAAACAAGAAGUCCAAAAGAAUAAAGCUUUUGAUUUCCGAGCCUAGCACAAGCAAAGCAGCAACUCACACAUCUCCUAAUUUUUGUAACAAAGAUGUUCCCGAAAUUGAUGAAUCAGUUGAAAAUUCAUUGAAAGCUUCCUUACUAAGAGAAUGUAAUGAUUGGGGAUCGAUCUGCGAAAAAUGGAAAAGAUCUUUUAACAUACGGCAAAGAGAUAUAAAAAAUUUAAGUAGCCAUACAUUUCUCCUUGAAUGGACGAAGUUGUCCGAUGCAAGAGCUUCAGAAUUGGUAAGUAGCCAUGAGCUAUUUAUUUGUAUAUGGAUACUAAUGUUUCGUUUUAGGUCAACAUUGAUUUCGAUAUUAUGUAUCCACAGAAAGGCAAUCUUCUACUUUCUAAAUGGGACCAAUUUAAGAAAAAAAUUUACAAUUAUUAUGGGAAAAAUAUUCAUAACGAACAUUGCAAACAACUCUUCGCAAAUGUUUUGACGGCAAGCAGCAUAGAUGCUCAAGAUUAUAUAUACGCAAUACUGUUGAAUUCAGUUUUACCAUCACCUGCUAGGUUUAAAUGUGGAAACGGUAAAUUACGAAAAAAAGUAACAAUAGCUGAUUCGCAGGAAAGUUUCGUACUGCGACUACCGACAAUUAACGAUUAUAAAAGGCAAAUUGAUACAGUCACUGAAAAGUAUUACAAUGCUGGAUUAACUAUACAGCCAUUUAUAAUUGUGGAGGGUUUGUCCGAUUUCAAUAUAAAAGGUUUUUAUGUUUUUUUUAACCACAAUUUGUUAAAAUUUCAAUCGUUCCUCGAAUGUUUAGAUACAUGUUUUAAAAUUUUUCAUGCACUUUCUUUAAAAUAUCCAAAUGCCUGCCAAAUUCCAUGGAUUUUUAUCCAAAAAUAUUUUUAUGAAAUUAAUACUGUAUAUGAUAUAAAAUCAGUUAAUUUGACUUCACUUAUUAAUUUCUGCAACAAUAAUUAAAGUACAAUUCAAAAUGUAUAUUUGCUUUCGUUGCCGUAAGCAUUUUGAUAAGGCAAAUCU